GACGUAGGGCGCGAGCGUUGUCCGGAUUUAUUGGGCGUAAAGAGCUCGUAGGCGGCUUGUCGCGUCGUUCGUGAAAACCCGGGGCUCAACUCCGGGCUUGCGGGCGAUACGGGCAGGCUAGAGUUCGGUAGGGGAGAUCGGAAUUCCUGGUGUAGCGGUGAAAUGCGCAGAUAUCAGGAGGAACACCGGUGGCGAAGGCGGAUCUCUGGGCCAUUACUGACGCUGAGGAGCGAAAGCGUGGGGAGCGAACAGG
rnacentral:rRNA from 1 species